GUAGCUGAACUUUCUGCUGCUCAAGAGGAGUUGGCACUUUCUAAGUCACUAGUGUUGGAUUCGGAGCAAAGGCUUAAUUCAAAAGAAGCUCUUAUUAAUGAACUGACUGAAGAGUUGAACCUGCAAAAGGCUUCAGAAUCCAAGGUGAAGGAAGAUAUCUCAACUCUUGAGAAUAUUUUUACUGCAACUAAAGAAGAUCUUCAAGCAAAGGUUUCUGAGUUGGAAGAUAUGAAGCUGAAACUGGACGAGCAAGUGAAAGCAAGGGAAUUGGUUGAAGCUGGGCUGAAGGCCCAACAAGAACAGGUCUCGAUUGUACAGGAAGAAUUAAGUAAAGUACUAAAGGAAAAAGAAGAUCAGAUGGCCUCCCUGAAGGAAGAAGUGAAGGGCCUGAAUGAGAAGGUUGCUGAAAAUCAGAAGGUCGAUGAAGUACUUCAAAGCACAAUAGCUGAACUUUCUGCUGCUCGGGAGGAGUUGGCACUUUCUAAAUCACUAGUAUUGGAUUGGGAGCAAAGGCUUAAUUCAAAAGAAGCUCUUAUUAAUGAACUGACUGAAGAGUUGGACCUAAAAAGGGCUUCAGAAUCCAAGGUGAAGGAAGAUAUCUCAACUCUCGAGAAUAUUUUUACUGCAACUAAAGAAGAUCUUCAAGCAAAGGUUUCUGAGUUGGAAGAUAUGAAGCUGAAACUGGACGAGGAAGUGAAAGCAAGGGAAUUGGUUGAAGCUGGGCUGAAGGCCCAACAAGAACAGGUCUCGAUUGUACAGGAAGAAUCAAGUAAAGUACUAAAGGAAAAAGAAGAUCAGAUGGCCUCCCUGAAGGAAGAAGUGAAGGGCCUGAAUGAGAAGGUUGCUGAAAGUCAGAAGGUCGAUGAAGCACUUCAAAGCACAAUAGCUGAACUUUCUGCUGCUCGGGAGGAGUUGGCACUUUCUAAAUCACUAGUACUGAAUUUGGAGAAAAGACUAAAUUCAAAAGGAGCUCUUAUUAAUGAACUGACUGAAGAGUUGGACCUGAAAAAGGCUUCAGAAUCCAAGGUGAAGGAAGAUAUCUCAACUCUUGAGAAUAUUUUUACUGCAACUAAAGAAGAUCUUCAAGCAAAGGUUUCUGAGUUGGAAGUUAUCAAGCAUAAACUAGACGAGGAAGUGAAAGCAAGGGAAUUGGUUGAAGCUGGGCUGAAGGCCCAACAAGAACAGGUCUCGAUUGUACGGGAAGAAUCAAGUAAAGUACUAAAAGAAAAAGAAGAUCGGAUGGCCUCCCUGAAGGAAGAAGUGAAGGGCCUGUAUGAGAAGGUUGCUGAAAAUCAGAAGGUCAAUGAAGCACUUCAAAGCAGAAUAGCUGAACUUUCUGCAGCUCAGGAGGAGUUGGCACUUUCUAAAUCACUAGUACUGAAUUUGGAGGAAAGACUUAAUUCAAAGGAAGCUCUUGUUAAUGAACUGACUGAAGAGUUGGACCUGAAAAAGGCUUCAGAAUCCAAGGUGAAGGAAGAUAUCUCAACUCUUGAGAAUAUUUUUACUGCAACUAAAGAAGAUCUUCAAGCAAAGGUUUCUGAGUUGGAAGUUAUCAAGCAUAAACUAGACGAGGAAGCGAAAGCAAGGGAAUUGGUUGAAGCUGGGCUGAAGGCCCAACAAGAACAGGUCUCGAUUGUACGGGAAGAAUCAAGUAAAGUACUAAAAGAAAAAGAAGAUCGAAUGGCCUCCCUGAAGGAAGAAGUGAAGGGCCUGUAUGAGAAGGUUGCUGAAAAUCAGAAGGUCAAUGAAGCACUUCAAAGCAGAAUAGCUGAACUUUCUGCAGCUCAGGAGGAGUUAGCACUUUCUAAAUCACUAGUACUGAAUUUGGAGGAAAGACUUAAUUCAAAGGAAGCUCUUGUUAAUGAACUGACUGAAGAGUUGGACCUGAAAAAGGCUUCAGAAUCCAAGGUGAAGGAAGAUAUCUCAACUCUUGAGAAUAUUUUUACUGCAACUAAAGAAGAUCUUCAAGCAAAGGUUUCUGAGUUGGAAGUUAUCAAGCAUAAACUAGACGAGGAAGUGAAAGCAAGGGAAUUGGUUGAAGCUGGGCUGAAGGCCCAACAAGAACAGGUCUCGAUUGUACGGGAAGAAUCAAGUAAAGUACUAAAAGAAAAAGAAGAUCGGAUGGCCUCCCUGAAGGAAGAAGUGAAGGGCCUGUAUGAGAAGGUUGCUGAAAAUCAGAAGGUCAAUGAAGCACUUCAAAGCAGAAUAGCUGAACUUUCUGCAGCUCAGGAGGAGUUGGCACUUUCUAAAUCACUAGUACUGAAUUUGGAGCAAAGACUUAAUUCAAAGGAAGCUCGUAUUAAUGAACUGACUGAAGAGUUGGACCUGAAAAAGGCUUCAGAAUCCAAGGUGAAGGAAGAUAUCUCAACUCUUGAGAAUAUUUUUACUGCAACUAAAGAAGAUCUUCAAGCAAAGGUUUCUGAGUUGGUAGAUAUGAAGCUGAAACUGGA
rnacentral:lncRNA from 1 species